UUCUAAUUGGGCAAAAGUAAAAAUAAGGGGAAGGAGUAGAAAAUACAAAUGCUCAUUGGUCAGUUGUGGAUAUUCCUGCUACUACUUUCUUUGGUGACUCAGCUCCUUUACCAAGAAAACAAAUGUUUUGUCUUCCAGCUCAAACUGGUAUGCAGAGGGAUAAUUAAUUUGCCUGUUUUCCCACUAUUUGCCUGUUCAUAAUCAGUCAACACAAACACUGGUUGAAUAUGGGCUUUGUCUACUAACAUCCUAUUCUUGGAAUCUUUGGACCAGUGGAAAAUGACCAGGUAUCAUCUCACUGUAGUUCGCUGACCUCAGUUAGGAAGAAAGAUGAUGAAAUAGGAGAGGGAAAGAGAAAGAGAGAGAGAGAGAGAGAGAGAGGGGUGGGGGUUACCUGGUUUAAAGGGAGAUAUCUCUACUUCGCUACAUCUUCCCCUUGGCCACUUGAAUGGCGACCUCGCCAUUCCCCAAA